GACGAACGCUGGCGGCGUGCUUAACACAUGCAAGUCGAACGGAAAGGCCCUGCUUUUGUGGGGUGCUCGAGUGGCGAACGGGUGAGUAAAACGUGAGUAAACUGCCCUUGACUUUGGGAUAACUUCAGGAAACUGGGGCUAAUACCGGGUAGGAGCUCCUGAUGCAUGGUGUGGGUUGGAGAGUUUCGGCGGUUGGGGAUGGACUCGCGGCUUAUGAGCUUGUUGGUGGGGUAGUGGCGUACCAAGGCUUUGACGGAUAGCCGGCCUGAGAGGGUGACCGGCCACAUUGGUACUGCGAGAGGGCGCAGACGCCUACGGGACGCAGCAGGCGGGAACAUUGCACAACGGCCCGAAGCCUGAGACAGCAACCCUGCGUGCGUGAUGCCGGCCUUCGGGUUGUAAACCGCUUUCGCCUUUGACGAAGAGUGCGUGACGGUAAUGGGUCAAGAAGCACCGGCUAACUACGUG
rnacentral:rRNA from 1 species